rnacentral:tRNA from 1 species
AGGGGCUUAGGAUAAGACCAGACCAAGGGCCUUCAAAGCCCUAAGUGGGAGUGAAAAUCUCCCAGCCCCUG